GAGCGCUAAGGGCAAACCUGUCAAAAGACAGGGACGCAAAGCCAUAGGGUCUAAGGAGCUUACCAGGUGGAUGAAAUA
rnacentral:ncRNA from 1 species